AUGAGAUGGCAGGUAGUUAAUUCAGUUAGGGUAGUUUUGAAGUCGGUUUGUUGCACUCUAAUAUGGAGUUAUUUCGGGUGGUUUUUAGGUUGCUUCUUUUUGUCAUUCUCGAGACUGAUGCAUGGAGUUUGUUUGCUGUUGAAGAACAGGUCAAGAAGUUUAUGA